rnacentral:rRNA from 1 species
UACGUAGGGGGCAAGCGUUGUCCGGAUUUACUGGGCGUAAAGAGCGCGUAGGCGGAAUGGUAAGCGGGGCCGGAAAGCCCCCGGCUCAACCGGGGAAGGGGCCGCGAACUGCCAUUCUUGAGGGGGAGAGAGGAGAGCGGAAUUCCUGGUGUAGCGGUGAAAUGCGUAGAGAUCAGGAGGAACACCCAUGGCGAAGGCAGCUCUCUGGCUUCACCCUGACGCUGAGGCGCGAAAGCGUGGGGAGCAAACAGG